GGUGGGUAGCAGGAAGUGGGAGUAGCCUGCUGCAGAGGCAGAGGCUCAUGGAAAGUCUCUACUAGGGCAGUGCACCUGUGGUUUUGCAGGGUGUAGCCCCCAUGGCUGCUCUCAUGGGCUGGGCUGGUGUUGAGUGCCUGUAGCUUUUCCAUGCAGAGAGUGCAAGCUGUUGGUGGGUCUAUGAAUCUGCAGUCUGGAGGAUGGUGGCCUCCUGUGUGGGAGCUCCGAGCCCAUAUUUUCCUUCUGCACUGCACUUGUAGAGGUUCUCCAGGAGAUUCUGCCUCUGCAGGAAGCUUCUGCCUGGAAACAGUAGGCGGUGGUGUGGGUGGAUCCUUCACCAUUGGUUAAUCUUCCUGAUGCUGAUCUCCUGAUAGUGAGUUCUCAUGAGAUCUGGUUGUAUAACCUGGUGUGGCACCUCUUUCCUCUCUGUGUCUUCUUCCUACUCCUGCCAUAUGGAACAUCUCAUUGUCACUUGGGCUUUUGGUAUGAUUGGGAGGCUCCCUGAGUCCUCCCAGAAGCAGAAACCACUUGCUGCCUUUACAUCCUGCAAAACCAUGAGCCAAUUAAACCUCUUUAAAAAAUAAUAUUACAGAAAAUUUGUACUGUAGACUGGAGCUAUGAAAUGCCUUCAAGGUUUCCCCCCACCUUUUUUUUUUUUUACCAUUAGCAUUUGGCUUCUUUUAUAUGGAAAUAUAUGAAGCCUUCUUGAAUUUUCCCCCUGAAAAUGGACUUUUCUCCUUUCACCACAUUGCCAGGCUGCCACAACGGUGGCUGAAAAUGUAGAAGUAGGUUCAGAAGUGGGUAAUCACCGGACGCUGCACAGUUUGGGGGUCUUGGAAGAAGACAGAAAGAUGAGGGAAAAUUUGGAGUAUUGUAGAGACGUGUUAAAUUAAAAGGGUGACCAUAGAGACUUUUUACAUAGCUAUAAUUAAAAGAGUGACUGAAGGAUGGCCAUGUGGUCAAAAAGCAAAGCUGAUUUUCAGUGGGAAAAUUCAAGAAGGCUUCCGAAAUUUGCAUAAAAUGGAGCCCAGUGCU
rnacentral:lncRNA from 1 species